AUAUCAUGUGGAAUACACCGGUUCUCGUCCGAUCACCGAAGCAACCUCGAACCUAGUUAGUACUUAGAUGGUUGACCACUUGAGUAUACCACGUGCUGUAAU